GAUGAACGCUGGCGGCGUGCCUAAUACAUGCAAGUCGAGCGAACAGACGAGGAGCUUGCUCCUCUGACGUUAGCGGCGGACGGGUGAGUAACACGUGGAUAACCUACCUAUAAGACUGGGAUAACUUCGGGAAACCGGAGCCAAUACCGGAUAAUAUAUUGAACCGCAUGGUUCAAUAGUGCAAGACGGCUUUGCUGUCACUUAUAGACGGAUCCGCGCCGCCUUAGCUAGUUGGUAAGGUAACGGCUUACCAAGGCGACGACGCGUAGCCGGCCUGAGAGGGUGAUCGGCCACACUGGAACUGAGACACGGUCCAGACUCCUACGGGAGGCAGCAGUGGGGAAUCUUCCGCAAUGGGCGAAAGCCUGACGGAGCAACGCCGCGUGAGUGAUGAAGGUCUUCGGAUCGUAAAACUCUGUUAUUAGGGAAGAACAAAUGUGUAAGUAACUAUGCACGUCUUGACGGUACCUAAUCAGAAAGCCACGGCUAACUACGUG
rnacentral:rRNA from 1 species